ACAAGACAGAUUGUGUCCUCUUGCUUUCGUCCCCUGAAACUAUGAGAAAAACUAGUUAAUUAUCACAACAUAUAACAACAGUUAUCAAGCUGCCUCGACAUGGAGCUAUAAUGAUAUUCACGUCUCCAGCAAGUCGUCGGAGCUGUGGACUUUUCUUCUGCCAAACUGGAAUAACACACACUCUCCGUAAAUAGACAGACAGUGCCGCAGACAGAGACAGACAGAGAAGACCAUACUUUACAAAAAAACAUGUCUAGCAGUACCAUCACUCAACCCUGCAAGCAGGAGAGGAAAGGCAGUUUCUUCAAGCUGAUUGACUCGUUCGCCUGGGAAAUCGGCACUUUGAAGAAGGAGAUGGGAAAGAAGACAGAGCCAGCAGAAGGAGACCACAAGACUGAUACACUCCUUGGGCUAGGUGAAGAGGUGGGGGGUCUCUUCCUGCAGGCUUCACCCUGCGCUGGGAUCGGGGGGGGCCCGGCCGGAGCCAGAGAUUCGGGCUACGACUCCCUCCAUCGGCGGCUGAGCGUUUUGGACCGACUGGUGAACACGCACGCUGUGUGGCUCCAGCUGGGCCUCAACCACCAGGACGCCACCCGUAUACUGCAGAGCCAACCCACAGGGACAUUUGUGGUGAGGAAGUCAACCAGCCUACAGAGAAAGGUCAUCUCUCUACGCAUGGACAAAGACUCCACCGUCCCUGUCAAAGACUUCCCUGUCAGGGAGAGCCAGUACACUUUCUCUCUGGAGGGAUCAGGCCUGAGCUUCGCAGAUCUGUUUCGUCUGGUGGCUUUCUGCUGCAUCAGCAGGGAUGUGUUGCCCUUCACUCUGAAGCUCCCAGAAGCCAUUGCUUCAGCCAGAACCUCUGCUGAUCUCGAGGAGGUUGCUAAACUUGGAGCAGGCUUCUGGGAUACAAAGUUGUGCCGCAGUAGGAAGGGUUCAGCCUCGUUGUCCGCAACAGCUGUUCCCGACAGGCCACCCCCCCCUGCCCAGAGACCUGUCUCCUUGGCAACCACCCCAGGGCGCCCUCGGCUUCACACUCGCACGCCAUCUGAGCUUGAGUGUUGCCAAUCCAACGGAGCACUUUGUUUCAUCAACCCCCUCUUCAUAAAGGUUCACCAACCAGACGGUGACCAGAGCACCAACUCCAAUCCUUCUAGCACAGCGAAGAAGGACCUGAGGGAGGAAACCGCUAGCAACAGCAACAGCAGCAGCCAAGAAACCAGCAACAAGUACACUCAACCCUCUUGUCACGACAGCCCUGAAGUCUGUGGCUCAGAGCUCGAUGACAGCAAGCAGUCAAGCCUAAGCAACCUGCAGGGAAACACAGAGCUACAAGACAAUAACAGUAAAAACAGCGGCAGCCAGAAGCAAAGUGAUACAGAUACCGUGUCACGGUCCCCACCCCCUCGUCCUCCCCCACCUCGUUUGGUGCCACAACGCUCAGGCCCUCCUGUCCGACAGCGCAGCAUGCCUGAGAAGAUCUCCUGGAUCAACAUCUCCAAGGAGAAGGUGGAGGAGAGGGAGAGGGGCAGCAGCCUCCUUUCUCGUCUGGGCUCCUCACUAAGCAUCAGCCCUUCAUCCUCCCCGCCUAAAAGACUGAGCAUCAGCUCACCCAUAUCUAUCCCCCGGCCCUCCAUACCCCUCUCUCUAUCAUCUCUGUCCUCCUCUCCACGUCGGCCCAAAGCCUCACCAUCAUCCAGCCUGGAGGAUGCUCAGUGCCACCUAGCACUGGAGGACAAGACUAUUGAGGAGGCCCUCAGUAAGGCCAAGCGGUUUCAGCGGAAUGCUACCACAACCACCUCUGAACACUGCUGCAGUCCUCCAGAGCCUUCUCUGCUGACAACCAGCAAGCCAGCAGAGGUGCGAGCAGGAGAAGAAGAAGCAGGAGUGGAAUGCAGUGGGGGCGGACAGCGACUGAGCGACAUGAGUCUUUCCACAGAUUCCUCUGACUCUCUGGAAUUCUCUCAGUCCUCUGCCUUCUUCCUUCCUCCUCUCCAUGACCCCAACCCCCCCACUGUGGAUGACUUUAACAUCCACUUACCCCUCUCCCUUCCCCCACGCCACCUGCCUUACUCCAGCAUGGAGGAAGACGACGACGAUGAGGACGAUGAGGACGAAGAAGAGCCUGACUAUGGGGUCAGCCUGGAGAGUGACCAGGACCAAGACCAGGACCUGACCAUGGUGCCGCCGGGGCACCGCACAAAGCGUCGCCCCAGUGCCAGUGCUUUGAUCCUCCAGAAAGCUCUGCGUGGGCACCUGCGCAAGAUGAGUGGCGUUUUCAACUCGCUGCUGACACCCGAAAAGAGGGCUAUCCGCAAGGUGCUGGAGCUGUCCAGGGACAAAGGCUCGUACUUCGGCGGCCUGGUUCAGGACUAUCUGAGUUACAUGAGUGAGGCUGCAGGCAACCAGGCUGGGCAGGGCUACGCCUCCGGGCUGGAGCUGCUGCAGACUCUCCGCCAGUUUAUCACCCAGAUGAAGAGCUACCUGCGACAGAGCUCCGAGCUGGAGCCACCAAUCGAGAGCCUAAUCCCUGAAGACCAGAUUGACGGAGUCUUGGAGAAGGCCAUGCACAAGUGCGUCCUGAAGCCCCUCAAGCCGGUGGUGAGCGUGGCCCUGCAGGAGUUCCAGGUGCGCAGCGGGGCGUGGCAGGAGCUGAAGGAGAACCUGUCGCUGGCGAGGGCUCGGCAGCCACAGGAAAUGGGUGUGGCCGACGCGCUGCCCCCUGACCCCGUGGCCAUAGAGAAGAUUAGGCACAAGUUCCAAACCAUGUGUAAGCUGUACUCGCCGGAAAAGAAGGUCACCAUGCUGCUGAGGGUCUGCAAACUCAUCUACACCAUCAUGGAAGACAAUUCAGGUCGUCUGUACGGUGCUGAUGACUUCCUGCCCAUGUUGACCUACGUGUUGGCCCAGUGCGACAUGCCUCAGCUGGACAAUGAGAUACUUUACAUGAUGGAGCUGCUGGACCCUUCACUGCUUCACGGAGAAGGUGGCUACUACCUGACCAGCGCCUACGGAGCAAUGUCCCUGAUCAGAAACUUCCAGGAGGAGCAGGCAGCCAGGGUGCUGAGCUCUGAAACCAGAGAUACGCUCCACCAGUGGCACCGCCGACGCACCACCCAGCGAUCUGCACCGUCCAUUGAUGACUUCCAGAACUACCUGCGGGUGGCACUGCAGUCACUGGACAGCGGCUGUACUGCAAAGACUUUACAGGUCCGACCUUAUGCCACCGUGGAUGAGGUGUGCCAGCUGUGCGCUCGUAAGUUCAAAGUGUCGGACCCUGAGAACUACGGCCUAUUCCUUCUAAUAGAAAGCAGCAGCCAGCAGCUGGCUCCGGACACCCACCCUCAGAAGAUCAAGGCCGAGCUCCAUAGCCGCCAGCAGGGAGCUCCCUUCCAUUUUGUCUUCCGCCGCAUAGCCAACAGCGACUCCUCGUCAUCAGCUCCCCACGAUCCUGCACCCAACCUCAACAACCUCACUGUGACCUCUGACCCCCAGUCCAACCAAGAUGACUUCAGCACGGACAUGUCGACCUCCCCCUCCCAGCCAGGCCUCAGGCCGAGUCUGAGCCUCAGCCUGCCUAGCAGCAACCUCAAUGGAAACUCCAUAUCUAUAUGACUUGAAGGUUAAGAGGUCUGAACGGGGUGUGUGACAGUAUCGCCCAUUAUCUUUGACAAACAUGGCUCCAUGAGGCCUACAGUAAACAGGCUGGCACGUUGACUGUGUUGGGUUCAACGCUGUGCCGUGCCAGUCUUUACAAAGCCUGACUUCUCCUUUUGAAUGAUAGUCUGUCUCAGUCAGCAUCCCCUCUGUGGAAAGUUUUGUCUGACAGACACGGGUGAAAGAGGAAAGGAAGAAAGGAGGGAAGGAAAUGACAAAGAUGGAGUUUGUUUUUAAUUCCUUGGCUAUAUAUGUGACCUGAUGCAGAUUUGGCAUCAGAGCAACACUUUGCUACCUUUAGAUUACAUAGAGGGAAACCCGAUCUCAGAUAUGCAUGAGAUUAAUCUUCCAUCAAUCACUUUAAAUAUAACACAUAGUUUAUUUAGGUGAUACUGUAGAUAGAAUUAUGAUUUACUUGUUACAGUUGCUGGUAAACUGUUAUUUUGUUGUUUGUGUUGAACUUGUUAAUCCUUUAGAUUGUUUGUUCAGAUGAAUAUAGCGACACCCAGUGGUGGCUGGUAUACAUAACACGUAUGUUUCUGUAAUAUUUUUCCAGAGCUCCAUUUGAAACAUAAAAUGGAAUAUAGGAAGAACUCAGCUAAACAGAUACAACUGCAAACAGCAGCAGAAACCAUGAAAAUACACCCCAGAAACUAAACAAAAACUUACAAUAACAUACAGAGGAAUGGUAAAAAAAAAAAAAAUACAAACAAAAGAUUUCCAAAUGUGUUUACCUGGCUGCCUCAUUCUCAAAACUAACAGUGCUUCCUUUUCUGUAUUGACUCCCAUAGGAAGGUUGUUUUUUUUAAUUGUUUUUUUCCCCAAUCGCAUCUAUGCGGUGGCUACUGGUUUGUGGCCCAUUAGUCACCAGCCACUGGCUUUUCCCUUUUGCUUUCAAAGUAGAGCAUUACCUGAGUAAAAAGUUGCACAUUUGUUAGCAGCAUUCACAAUGAAAGUUCAAAUAUGAACAAAUGCUUACAUACAGAGUCAAUUUUGAUAAUUGAUCAACCAGUAAGACUUUUUAACGAAUGUUUUAAGCAAACAUUUGAUGUUUCUUGGUUCUCAAUUGGAGCUUUUCUUUCUCUGACGUCAAAGUAAGUUAAUUUUUGGACUGUUGGUCUGAUCUGAACUGAAUCAAUGAUUAAAAUAAUCUGUAGUUGCAGCCCUACAGUGAAUGGCUAUUGCAGGUAAAUGUUGGUGAGAAACAGUGUCAAAUAUGGUAUUUUUUAUGAAAUAUUCUCAAGGAUUAACAUUUUUAGAGUUAGUCACAUAUUGUAGCAGCAUGUAGAUUGUGUUUAAUUGUAAUGUUAGAAACAGGCAGAUCUGCCAGUGUUGAAAACAGUAACAUUCAUUUAUAUAUUUACUGAUUAUCCUGGAGAUAUGAAAGAUGUUGUAGAUAUUGUGUAAGGGCAUAUUUCCCAUCCAGUUACAAAAUGUGACACAGGAACAACUGGAUCCUGUGGCUGGCUGCCAUAUUACAGUUCCAAUAAGGUCUCUGUACUACUGACUAAUAUGAAAGGUUUUUAUCCUGGUGAGAAAAAUAAAAAAAGUUGUGGCCAGUUAUAUAAAGGAUGUGUGGACCUGUUAGCUGGUCUGAGGUCACACACAUUGAAACAUGCUGUAUGGCUCUUGUAAUUAUGUGGAAAGACAAAAGUAUGUAAGGGGACAUUGAACAGAAGAGGGAAUAUUACAAUACAGACAUUUACAUCAGUAUUGAACUCAGUACUGUCAGUCAAUAAAAUACUUGAAAUUUGACAUUUUCUAAUGAAUUUUAAAUGUUCAGUUGUUGGGAAAUUUAAUUUAAAUGCUGUUUAUUUACUGAAUGAGUUGAACUGUUCAUUCCUGUUUUACAUUGACGUGUAAUCAGUGUUGGGGAAGCUACUUUGCAUGCGUAGCUUGUAAAACUACAUGUAGUUCAGCCUGACAGUAGUUUGAACAAACUACCAUUUCUACCCCUGGAGAAAUGUAGUUUGUAAAACUACAGCUAAAAAAAGUAGCGUUAGCAACUACUUAUACUCAUUAUACUCAUUUAACUCAGCGUUAAAUAAAUCAACAUGUGGGUUAUAUGAAACUAAAUAUAAUAGCCUACAAAAAAUUCACAUGCCAGCAGAAAUAUGCCUCUCAACUCAGAUUUAUUUUUUUAAAGAAAAAAAGCUGGUCAACAUACUGUAGGUUCACCAUAGACAGGUAGGGUAAUUUAUAGACAUGUUGGGUAAUUUAUAGACAUGUUGGGUAAUAUAAAGAGAAAACGAAAAUCCUACCCCAAUACCCACAUGUAAAUCAGAAAUGUAAAUCAGUCAACAAAAAAUGUAAUAAAAAAUACAAAGAGGCAGAUAUAUUCUAGGUCAGUGUGUAUUGAACAACAAUGUUGGCAUGUCAUGACAUGAUUCAUGCCUUUUUUCAAAGAGACUUCUGGAACACAAUAAUGGUAAAAUAAAAUGUAUAUUAUAUAGGUCUUUUUUUUUUAAUAAAAACAAUUUUCAUAUUAUUGGCCAAUAUUGUAGUUUGUAAAUUGAGUUAAACUACAAAAAAUGACCCAAAAAGUAGUUGAAAUACUUGACGCAGCAAAAAAUAUGAAUAUAGUUUAACUACCAGCAAGUUACAGCAAAUUGUAGUUAAGGUCUCCCCAACACUGCGUGUAAUGUAAAUGUUUGAGGUGUGGUUGGCAGAAAGAUGAGAGGAAAGUGAAAGGCUGAAGGAAAUUUGAGAGCUUCUGGAUGGCAGUCAUGUAUCAUCCUGUAUAUAACCUGUACCUAGCUCACCAUGUAUAACCUCUGGGGGCCAACUGUUCAAAGAAUUGACUCAUACUACCAUGUUAUUGGUAAUCUAACUGUCUUUGAUAAAGCAAAGUAUUUAUAUGUAUCUGUGCAGGGAUUUUUCACAGAUGGCUUUUCCAUGUCUGUAAUAUUCGUUAUGGUGUCAACACAUCAUGUGCAUCCUUCGUGUCAUUGAAUGAUAUCAUAAAUAUUCUUUUGCACUUAAUAAAUGUUGG